CCUACGGGUGGCAGCAGUGGGGAAUAUUGGUCAAUGGGCGGGAGCCUGAACCAGCCAAGCCGCGUGAGGGAAGAAGGUACAGCGUAUCGUAAACCUCUUUUGUCAGGGAACAAAGGCGGGGACUAGUCCCCGGAUGAGGGUAGCUGAAGAAACCGCAUCGGCUAACUCCGUGCCAGCAGCCGCGGUAAUACGGAGGAUGCCAGCGUUAUCCGGAUUUAUGGGGUGUAAGGGGAGCGUAGGCCGCAGGGCAAGCGUGCGGUGAAAUGUCCGGGCUCAACCCGGGACUUGCAGAGCGAACUGGCGUGCUUGAGUCCGCGGAAAGCAGGCGGAAUUCGUCGUGUAGCGGUGAAAUGCGUAGAUAUGACGAAGAACCCCGAUGGCGAAGGCAGCUUGCUGCAGCGGAACUGACGCUGAGGCUCGAAAGCGCGGGGAUCGAACAGGAUUAGAUACCCCUGUAGUC
rnacentral:rRNA from 1 species